rnacentral:rRNA from 1 species
GACGAACGCUGGCGGCGUGCCUAAUACAUGCAAGUAGAACGCUGAAGCGAGGAGCUUACUCUUCUUGUAUGAGUUGCGAACGGGUGAGUAACGCGUAGGUAACCUGCCUUGUAGCGGGGGAUAACUAUUGGAAACGAUAGCUAAUACCGCAUAACAAUGUAUGACACAUGUCAUUUAUUUGAAAGGGGCAAUUGCUCCACUACAAGAUGGACCUGCGUUGUAUUAGCUAGUAGGUGAGGUAAUGGCUCAACUAGGCGACGAUACAUAGCCGACCUGAGAGGGUGGUCGGCCAAACUGGGACGGGGACACGGCCCAGAGGGCUACGGGAAGCAGCAGUAGGGAAACUUCGGCAAUGAGGGGAAACCUGACCGAGCAACGCCGCGUGAGUGAAGAAGGUUUUCGGGUCGGAAAGCUCUGUUGUAAGUCAAGAAAGGGUGUGAGAGUGGAAAGUUCACACUGUGACGGUAGCUUACCAGAAAGGGACGGCUAACUACGUG